rnacentral:rRNA from 1 species
GAUGAACGCUGGCGGCGUGCCUAAUACAUGCAAGUCGAGCGAACAGAUGAGGAGCUUGCUCCUCUGACGUUAGCGGCGGACGGGUGAGUAACACGUGGAUAACCUACCUAUAAGACUGGGAUAACUUCGGGAAACCGGAGCUAAUACCGGAUAAUAUAUUGAACCGCAUGGUUCAAUAGUGAAAGACGGUUUUGCUGCCACUUAUAGAUGGAUCCGCGCCGCAUUAGCUAGUUGGUAAGGUAACGGCUUACCAAGGCAACGAUGCGUAGCCGACCUGAGAGGGUGGUCGGCCACACUGGAACUGAGACACGGUCCAGACUCCUACGGGAGGCAGCAGUAGGGAAUCUUCCGCAAUGGGCGAAAGCCUGACGGAGCAACGCCGCGUGAGUGAUGAAGGUCUUCGGAUCGUAAAACUCUGUUAUUAGGGAAGAACAAAUGUGUAAGUAACUAUGCACGUCUUGACGGUACCUAAUCAGAAAGCCACGGCUAACUACGUG